UUGAGAAUGCUUUUCUCUGAGCAACAACAGGAUCAAUGGUGCAAUUUACUGAAUACUUUCUGUCUGAUGAUCCCAUCUUCCUCCUGAUAUUGAAGGGACAGAGUUAUUCGGAUUCUUUCAUCUACCAAUUCAAGAAAGGGAAGUGUCUGAUGUCUGGAUCAUGGAGAUACCGUCAUUUGAUGCACCAUUCACUACAGUCUGAUUAAUGAGUUUGGCUAUAUUCCACAGGAUAACGUCUUGCCUUUCUUGGCUCAACAUUUUUACCACAAAAGCCAUUAAAGUAAAUUUCAACUCAAGUCUUUUUGUACUGUAUGAAAGAGCUAAUUGGAAUCUGUAAUUUACCCAGUAUGUUACAUUAAAUUGACCUUUACAAAGA